rnacentral:tRNA from 7 species
CCGCCUAUAGCUCAGCUGGUAGAGCAACUGCCUUUUAAGCAGGAGGUCCCAGGUCCGAAUCCUGGUGGGCGGA